AUUGAACGCUGGCGGCAGGCCUAACACAUGCAAGUCGAGCGGAUGAAGGGAGCUUGCUCCUGGAUUCAGCGGCGGACGGGUGAGUAAUGCCUAGGAAUCUGCCUGGUAGUGGGGGAUAACGUCCGGAAACGGGCGCUAAUACCGCAUACGUCCUGAGGGAGAAAGUGGGGGAUCUUCGGACCUCACGCUAUCAGAUGAGCCUAGGUCGGAUUAGCUAGUUGGUGGGGUAAAGGCCUACCAAGGCGACGAUCCGUAACUGGUCUGAGAGGGUGAUCAGUCACCCUGGAAAUUGGGAAAGGGCCACAAACCCAACGGGAGGCAGAGUGGGGAAAUUUGGGAAAAGGGGGGAAGGCCUAAGCAGGCCAGGCGGGGGGGGGAAAAAAGGUCUUGGGUUUGUAAAGCCUUUUAAUUUGGAAGAAAGGACAGUAAGUUAAUUCUUUGCGUUUUUGCGGUAACAAACAAAAAAACCACCGGUAACUUCGUG
rnacentral:rRNA from 1 species